CAUAGAUGCCUGCGGUCGUCUCCUCCAUGACUUCGCUGUUGGCCUGUCCCUCUACGAAGCCUCGACCGUCGGGCCCUCGUUUUCCCUCCCGGCGCUGGCCACUCCAUCGCCCUUCCGACAGACGCAUCUCCUCCGCCUCCGCUUUGCGUAUGUGGGAUCACAUAACCACUGACCAUAUGGCUGGUUCCUCAAGUCGGGUACCAGAUGCUCCGAACCUGCCAUAUCAUGCUCGGCUAUGGCGGGAACGAGAUGAUCGCCUGGGCCACCUCCCAUGGUCCUCGGCAGCUCCAAAUAAGAGGCAGGACAGACGGCGUAGGAAAGGCGCGCGAUCGAGAGACGGCCGCCUCUGGCAUCACAAGACCUUGAUGUCGCCAUGGCAGUCAGACGCGUGAUGCGUCCGGCAACGCGCCCUCACUCCCAAACAACUCGCAGCCGUUCUCCGACGACGACGCUUGCGGCUUGCCCCGCCGCCCUAUGCAGCCCUCCCGCCGUCAGCGUGCGAGGUCGCUACGGCCCGGCUACCUUGCGCCCUCUCACCGUCUCUCUGGCCGCAGCCCGGCACCGCCUUCCAGCGCAGAUGGGAGGCAGCCGCCUUGAGCUCGCGCCAGCCCUGCUGCAAGUCAGCCGUGGACGAGGUCGACCUGCACAGACGGGAGACAGCGCAGAGUGCUGGCCGCGCUCGCCGCCGCGGCGAUGGGCAUGGCCAGGCCAAUACGAUGAUGGACGAGAUGGUCUACAGCAUGAACAACAAGAAAGCGCACUACGGCACCCUCGCGGCGGCGCAGCCUUGCCAAAACCCCUGUGCCCCAGGCCGUAUCUCUGGCUACUCCUCCAGCGGUUCCGUCGUCGCCGUCGCCCGAAGCCUAGCUAACUUCGCCCUGGGCACAGAAAGCGGUGGCAGCAUCAGGGUGUCGGCUGCCUAUAUAUUGCGGCAUCUGCAGGCUCCGGCCCUCCCACGGACUGAUGUGCACUGAAUAUGUCGUCCUGAUGGCACAUAUGUUCGACACUGUCGGUUUCAGUUAUGCUUAUGCGAUAUUUGCCCCGCGA